UUUCUCUAUCGAUAUUUGUUUUAAAUUGUUCGUCAAAAGUCUUUCAAUUAUAUUUUUAAGUUUAUAAAACUGCUGUAGCUUUUCUGGUCUGCACCGUUCAAUUCAAGAGUUCUUAGAAUUUGCAAUGCUUUUCUCAGUUCAGCUGUGGUUGGCAUGUGGUUGCUUUCUUCUGUAUCUCUUUCACUGUAAGUUUCUGCAGCUGUUUAAACACUUGCUAUAAUUUCAUAGUCGGUGUUUUCACAUGCUCUCUCAAUAUUAUGAUCAGUUGCAAUAUAUUCUAAAAACGAAUCUUAAUUAAAUGUUCAGGACAAUAUCAGAGGGGUGUGUACAGCACAGUUGUUUAAGCCUAAAAUUAUUUUUUCAUUUUUCAGUUCUAUAUUUCAUUUUAAAAGGAAAUCAAUAAAAAUACUGCUUAUCAUCCACGAGCUCUUGUUAUAAUGUUAACCCUCUAAUGGCCAUGGUAGCAUAUUUGCUACCAUAUAUUAAAUGCCAUGUUAUUAUACAAGGAACAUGAUGAAAUGUAAUUUUCAUGUCAUAAAUUUAUAGAUUGAACCUUUCUCAUGUAUUAUUAGCAAAUUUUAGGCAUAGAUAGCGGCACCAGCUUAAAGGGAAAAAAAAUAGAAGAAGCAUGGAUACAGCAAACAAUGCAAGCACCUUUUCAGAUCCAUGCACUUCAGGCCCCUUUUUCUACAGAGUAAGAGGAAGAAAUGUGUUUAAAAAACUAGAAGAUGCCAUAGCAUAUAUGAAUGAUUUGGAAAGUGAUUUAUCCGAUGUAUCUGAUGACGACUCUGAUGAUGAAUAUAUGCCUACAUAAGCAUCUAAUAUCUUCCAUGAAGGAAGCUCAGAUGAUGAAAAACAAGAUCAUAAUGAAGAUGUAGAAAAUGACCAAAAUGCAUCAAAUUUUGAAUAAAGUGUCUAUCUAUGUAAGAGCUAUAAAAAUUUAAAAUUCUCUGGAGGACAAAAGAGCCUAAUCUUAUGCCUUCAUCAAAUGAUGAUAAAUUUCCUGAUUCUAAAGAACCUCUUCCAUCUGCUCUUGCAUAUUUUCAGAUUGUUAUAUCAACAGAUAUUAUAAAAUUAGUAGUUGAACAAACAAAUCUGUAUAGAGUUCAACAAACAGGAACUUCUCUUAUGGUGAUGGCAAAGGAAAUAGAGCAAGUAAUACGAAUGGACCGUAUACCUCAUAUUAGAGGAUAUUCAGAAGAGGGAAUAAAGUAUGAACCAAUUGCAGAAGUAAUGUCUAGAAACAGAUUUGAAAAAAAUCUUAAGAUUUUUGCAUAUUGUGGAUAAUUCUCAAAUUGAUGAUGAUGAUAGAAGUGACAAAUGCUGUAGAGUGCGACCGUGGUUGUCUAGACUUUGAGAAAACAUGCUAUCCAUUCCAUGUGAGACCAAGCUGUCUGUUGAUGAAAUAAUGAUUCCAUUUUGUGGGACAAUAUAUGCCUAAAAAACCUCAUAGCAAACGGGGUUUAAAAAUGUGGGUCCGGUGUGGACAAUCAGGCAUUUGUUACGAUUUUGAUGUUUACACUAGAAAAUCUUAAGGUUCCUCUUGAGAUCAAACUACCUACGCAUUAGGUCUAGGAGCAGGUGUUGUGAUGCAGUUAUGCAGCACUCUAAGUAACCCAACAAAAACUACUAUCUUUGCGGAUAACGUUUUCUCUGGAAUCCCAUUAGUAUAUUAAUUAUCCAAGAAAAAUAUAGGAUUUGUUAAAACUUCGAGAGAAAAUAGGCUAAUGAAAUGUAAAUUAAAGAACCAGAAAGAAGUGAAAAAAGAAUGCAGGCGAUCCAUUGAUUAUUUUGUAGCAUCUGUAAAGAAUGCAGAUAUCAUAGCUGUAAAUAUAAAUAUUGUAACCUUAAA